UACGUAGGUGGCAAGCGUUGUCCGGAUUUACUGGGCGUAAAGAGCGCGCAGGCGGUCGUACAAGUCGCGUGUGAAAGCCCCCGGCUCAACUGGGGAGGGUCACGCGAUACUGUUCGACUCGAAGGCAGGAGAGGGAAGUGGAAUUCCCGGUGUAGUGGUGAAAUGCGUAGAUAUCGGGAGGAACACCAGUGGCGAAGGCGACUUCCUGGCCUGUUCUUGACGCUGAGGCGCGAAAGCUAGGGUAGCAAACGGGGAUUAAGAA
rnacentral:rRNA from 1 species